GGGGGGAUUGGGCCCUCGGGAGACCGGCGUUAAUGAUCGCCCGGAUUGUGGGCUCGUUCCGGACGUCGGCUAGCCCCCAAGCCCUUAGCGGGGCGAUAAAGGGUCGGCUGGCGACUGGGACGGGCUCGCUUCGGGGCUGCGCUCGAAGUGCCGAGCGUAUAGCACGUCGUCGGUCGGGUGGCGUCCUCGGCCUUGUGUCCGGACGCGAGGGGGGGGCCUCGGGGUCCCGGCCGUGUGGCCUUCGUGCGGGGACCCGUGCUCGCUUUUCGUCGGGCUGCGGGGCUGAGCGUGCCUUCGGAGGGCUUCGGGGUGUAGCUAACCUCGGGGCUCUUUUCUCUUCAUCGGUCCCAUGUCCGUCGUUUCGUCCUGGUGGAAGUCGCGUUAAACGGCCGUUCGCGAAGUGUUAGACUUCGGGCCGCCCCUCCGGGUUGUGGGGCGCGAGGAGGAUGGAUGUGACGGACGUGUGGACUGGAGGGGAGAGGGGUGCGUGGGGCUCUGCGGUCCGGUGGGCUCGUGGGCGCGGGAUUCCGUGCGUUUGCUUGGGUUGGGGCCCGGGGGUUUCCUCUUCGGGUUUUGUGACGAUGGNGCCAUCUCCUCCUCCGCCCCUGCGACCAAAGCCAUUCUCUCGACGGGGAGAUGGCCGUCGGACGUAGGUGCGGGGCUCUUCCUUCACAACAGUAGUUAAAUCUUAUGUCUGAGUNAUGUUCCGAGGAGCACCGUCUCCCGGUCGGAGACUCUUGAACCGUCGCGGUGUAGAGACCGGGCCCUGUCNUGGGGUUCGGGCUCGAGGAUGCGGGUCCCUGUCAUGGGGAUCGGCUCCGUUCCGUGGCGGGGUGGAGUCCGCGGGGUGCGUGUCCGCCCUUUGAGCAGACCAAAAAAAA
rnacentral:misc_RNA from 1 species